rnacentral:tRNA from 1 species
AGGGGUACAGCUCAGUGGUAGAGUGCGUGCUUAGCAUUCACGAAGUCCUAGGAACGAUCCCCAGUGCCUCCA